rnacentral:tRNA from 1 species
GAUACGGUACUCAAGUGGUUCAAGAGGACAGACUGCAAAUCUGUUAUUCGCUGGUUGGAGUCUUUGACUCCAACCCAUCAAAUGCAACUGCCCGGUGGGCAGUUGCUCGCGACGGCUCGACGGAGCGAAACCUCUAUUUUCGCAUAAGCGAAAAUGCAAAUCGAAUCCGGCCCGUAUCUCCA